UACGUAGGUGACAAGCGUUGUCCGGAUUUACUGGGCGUAAAGAGCGCGCAGGCGGUCGAUUAAGUCGAGUGUGAAAGCCCCCGGCUCAACUGGGGAGGGUCAUUCGAUACUGAUCGACUCGAAGGCAGGAGAGGGUAGUGGAAUUCCCGGUGUAGUGGUGAAAUGCGUAGAUAUCGGGAGGAACACCAGUGGCGAAGGCGACUACCUGGCCUGUUCUUGACGCUGAGGCGCGAAAGCUAGGGGAGCAAACAGG
rnacentral:rRNA from 1 species